UGCUGUGGCCCCACCCCUGAUGUCAGCCGUGGGUCAUGAACGUGGGAAUCUUCACAUCUCGUUGUAUAGGACCUAAUUCACCAGGUUCACCUCUCUCCCCGCACCGGAACUCAAACGCUGACCAUCUCCUCCGGCCCUGCCCUAGCUGUGCCUGCGUGCCCUGCUCCUGUGGAAGAAGAAAGCUGCAUCUUUUCCAAGAAUAGUUGCUGUCUUGCUCAGAUGAAAGGCAUGAAGCCAGGCUGAGGUUUGUGAUGAUGAAAAGAAAUAUGCACUCAGAAGAAACCAUUCUUGGAAUUGUGGAUUUGAAUCUUUCUCUGGUUAAUGCCAGAUGUUCUUCUCUUGGAUGCUGGGUAACAACAGUGGUCACGGCUCUCAGCCCCAGUCAUGAGGGACAUGACCGUGCUCUACAGUGUACUGUGCUGCUAACCGGAAUGUGUGGCAGUUUUGAGAGCUGAACGUGGCAACAAGGAGUAACUGCAAAUGAACAUAAAGGAUCUUUUGAGAGCAAUAUAAAUAUUUUAAAUUUGGAUUAUGGUGGCUCCAUGACUGUAAAUUUACUAAAAACCAUUGAAUUUUGCACUUAAAAUGGAUGAACUGUGGGAUACAUAAGUCACAUCUAAAUAAAGCUUAAAAUGGUCUUUUUUAUUUUAGAUGACUCAGAGGCUAACAUUUUUAUUAAUGGGUUAGUUAUGUCUUUCUUGUAGUGUUGUGGUGAUCAGCAAAUGGGCUGAUAACAAGGAGAGAUGUUGCAAAUGCUACAAUACUAUAUAAACAAAGGAUACUCCGAUAAUAUUUCUGUUAUUAAGUAUAGUGUGCAUCUUUUGUGAUUGUAGUUUUCUAUUAAAGCCACAACAUAAAUAAAAAUUCUUGUUAGGUGUU